GACGAACGCUGGCGGCGCGCUUAACACAUGCAAGUCGUGCGGUACCGAUGGCAAGUCUUCAUGACGAGCCUUCGGUAUAGCGGCGGACGGGUGAGUAACACGUGAGUAGCUGUCCUAGGGAGGGGGAUAACGCCUGGAAACGGGUGCUAAAACCCCAUAAGCCUCGCAAGAGGUGAAAGUGUACUUGUUACAGCCUUAGGGUGUGCUCGCGGCCUAUCAGCUAGUUGGUGAGGUAAGGGCUCACCAAGGCUAAGACGGGUAGCCGGCCUGAGAGGGUGUACGGCCACACUGGAAUUGAGAUACGGUCCAGACUCCUACGGGAGGCAGCAGUGGGGAAUUUUGGGCAAUGGGCGAAAGCCUGACCCAGCGACGCCGCGUUGGGGAUGAAGUCCUUCGGGGCGUAAACCCAUGUUGUAGGGGAAGAAGAAAGUGACGGUACCCUACGAGAAAGCCCCGGCCAACUACGUG
rnacentral:rRNA from 1 species